rnacentral:rRNA from 1 species
UACGUAGGGACCAAGCGUUGUUCGGAUUUACUGGGCGUAAAGGGCGCGUAGGCGGCGUGACAAGUCACUUGUGAAAUCUCUGGGCUUAACCCAGAACGGCCAAGUGAAACUGUUGUGCUAGAGUGCAGAAGGGGCAAUCGGAAUUCUCGGUGUAGCGGUGAAAUGCGUAGAUAUCGUAAGGAAGACCAGUGGCGAAGGCGGGUCUCUGGACAGUUCCUGACGCUGAGGCACGAAGGUCAGGGGAGCAAACGGG